GUCUUUCAGCUAGAUCGGAUUCCUCUCCCAAUCGAAGUCCUAACCCGGCAGCUAUGUCACCUUGAAUCCUCUUGACAUUUUCAGCUGUCGUCACAUGAACAGGUAGAACAAGGUCAAACAUGUUCAUCUCCUUUACUCUUUUACCUACAUGCCUUGCUAAGGUUGUCUUUCCUACUCCACCCAUGCCGUACACUGCCACACUGGAGAUGCUAUCAUCUUGUAAGGCUUCCAAGAUUCCAUUGAAAGUGCUUUGUCUUGAUUCAAAGUCAAACUGCAUAAAACAACCGCCUUCAAUUCUAUCAACUUGAACUGUGUUCUUUACCUGUUCUUGUACUUGCUCAACUUUUGUCUCCAGUUUCCUCCUAAGAUGUUCUGGUUUCGUCGUCAGAACAUGUCCCUGAUGACCCAUUAUAAAG